CAAAAUUGAGUUUUUUAAAACUUAAAAGCUAAAGACAAUCACAGUGGUUUAAAGAAUGUCUCAGAUUUCACGAUUUGGUUCAUUAUUGGUUGGACUUGGCUGUGGUGGAAUCUUGGGAUUAUAUUUGGCUCAAAACUACAAUCUUCCAGAUUUACACACGCUAACUGAGAGACUAUUUGAAAAAACAAGCGAAUACAAGAAAGAUGACAAGAAAUGAUUUUCAGUUGAUCAGAUGAAACACACACAAGUAAAAAAUAUGGUGCUGCUUGGAAAGGUUGGUUGACUGCUUGGGAAGAUUUGAAAAAUGAUUGAGAAGCCGUUAGUGAUGUGAA